CCUACGGGAGGCAGCAGUGAGGAAUAUUGGUCAAUGGGCGCGAGCCUGAACCAGCCAAGCAGCGUGAAGGAAGACUGCCCUACGUGUUGUAAACUUCUUUUGUAAGGGAACAAAGGCAGGGACGUGUGCCUUGUUGAGUGUACUUGAUGAAUAAGCAUCGGCUAACUCCGUGCCAGCAGCCGCGGUAAUACGGAGGAUGCGAGCGUUAUCCGGAUUUAUUGGGUUUAAAGGGAGCGUAGAUGGGUUGUUAAGUCAGUUGUGAAAGUCUGCGGCUCAACCGCCAACUUGCCAUUGAGACUGGCAGGCUUGAGUACGGUUGAGGUAGGCGGAAUUCGUGGUGUAGCGGUGAAAUGCUUAGAUAUCACGCAGAACUCCGAUUGCGAAGGCAGCUUACUAAACUGCCACUGACAUUGAUGCACGAAAGUGUGGGUAUCGAACAGGAUUAGAUACCCGGGUAGUC
rnacentral:rRNA from 1 species